CACCUGCGCCUCUUAAAUGCAGUCGAACGGUGAACACGGAGCUUGCUCUGUGGGAUCAGUGGCGAACGGGUGAGUAACACGUGAGCAACCUGCCCCUGACUCUGGGAUAAGCGCUGGAAACGGCGUCUAAUACUGGAUAUGUGACGUGACCGCAUGGUCUGCGUUUGGAAAGAUUUUUCGGUUGGGGAUGGGCUCGCGGCCUAUCAGCUUGUUGGUGAGGUAAUGGCUCACCAAGGCGUCGACGGGUAGCCGGCCUGAGAGGGUGACCGGCCACACUGGGACUGAGACACGGCCCAGACUCCUACGGGAGGCAGCAGUGGGGAAUAUUGCACAAUGGGCGAAAGCCUGAUGCAGCAACGCCGCGUGAGGGAUGACGGCCUUCGGGUUGUAAACCUCUUUUAGCAGGGAAGAAGCGAAAGUGACGGUACCUGCAGAAAAAGCGCCGGCUAACUACGUGCCAGCAGCCGCGGUAAUACGUAGGGCGCAAGCGUUAUCCGGAAUUAUUGGGCGUAAAGAGCUCGUAGGCGGUUUGUCGCGUCUGCUGUGAAAUCCCGAGGCUCAACCUCGGGCCUGCAGUGGGUACGGGCAGACUAGAGUGCGGUAGGGGAGAUUGGAAUUCCUGGUGUAGCGGUGGAAUGCGCAGAUAUCAGGAGGAACACCGAUGGCGAAGGCAGAUCUCUGGGCCGUAACUGACGCUGAGGAGCGAAAGGGUGGGGAGCAAACAGGCUUAGAUACCCUGGUAGUCCACCCCGUAAACGUUGGGAACUAGUUGUGGGGUCCAUUCCACGGAUUCCGUGACGCAGCUAACGCAUUAAGUUCCCCGCCUGGGGAGUACGGCCGCAAGGCUAAAACUCAAAGGAAUUGACGGGGACUCCGCACAAGCGGCGGAGCAUGCGGAUUAAUUCCG
rnacentral:rRNA from 1 species